GACAGAGGGUGCAAACGUUGUUCGGAAUUAUUGGGCGUAAAGCGCGCGCAGGCGGUCCUUUAAGUCUGAUGUGAAAGCCCACGGCUCAACCGUGGAGGGUCAUUGGAAACUGGGGGACUUGAGUGCAGAAGAGGAAAGCGGAAUUCCACGUGUAGCGGUGAAAUGCGUAGAGAUGUGGAGGAACACCAGUGGCGAAGGCGGCUUUCUGGUCUGUAACUGACGCUGAGGAGCGAAAGCCAGGGGAGCAAACGGG
rnacentral:rRNA from 1 species